UUUGAAAUCUGGCCCCAGGCCCGAGUUGUAAUUUGCAGAGGAUGCUUUUGGCGCGGUGCCUUCCGAGUUCCCUGGAACGGGACGCCAUAGAGGGUGAGAGCCCCGUACGGUUGGACACCAAGUCUUUGUAAAGCUCCUUCGACGAGUCGAGUAGUUUGGGAAUGCUGCUCAAAAUGGGAGGUAUAUUUCUUCUAAAGCUAAAUAUUGGCCAGAGACCGAUAGCGCACAAGUAGAGUGAUCGAAAGAUGAAAAGCACUUUGAAAAGAGGGUUAAACAGCACGUGAAAUUGUUAAAAGGGAAGCGCUUAUGACCAGACUUGCGCCCGGUGAAUCACCCAGCUCUCGCGGCUGGGGCACUUUGCCGGCUCAGGCCAGCAUCAGCUCGCUGUCGGGGACAAAAGCUUCGGGAACGUAGCUCUCUUCGGGGAGUGUUAUAGCCCGUUGCACAAUACCCUUCGGCGGGCUGAGGUACGCGCUCCGCAAGGAUGCUGGCGUAAUGGUCAUCAGCGACCCGUCUUGAAACACGGACCAAGGAGUCAACCUUAUGUGCGAGUGUUUGGGUGUCAAACCCCUACGCGUAAUGAAAGUGAACGCAGGUGAGAGCUUCGGCGCAUCAUCGACCGAUCCUGAUGUUCUCGGAUGGAUUUGAGUAAGAGCAUAUAGGGUUGGACCCGAAAGAAGGUGAACUAUGCGUGUAUAGGGUGAAGCCAGAGGAAACUCUGGUGGAGGCUCGCAGCGG
rnacentral:rRNA from 1 species